AUGGCUCUUUAUAAUACUGUACACUUUCUUGAUAUUUUAAAUAGGUUGAAAGCUAAGAUUAAUACGGGCUGUUUCCUCUAUUUCCAGAGUGAUGGUUCAUAUUGUAGCUCACGAGUAGGGACUGGAACAUCACCUCAGGUCCUAUGUGAAGUUUGUGUUCAAGCCAGAGCCAAACUCUGCCAGUGGGGUCAGAAUGUCCAUGAGGACCCUCAGAGUGUCCAUGAGGAGCUGGCUAAAGCCAUGACAGCCAACCUCAACCCCUCCACUUACUUCCUCACCAGCAACAAACUGCUACUCGUGGUACUUCGUAGAAGCCCUGGUGAAGUCUAUGGCCCAGCAUAGGACCCAGAGUG
rnacentral:lncRNA from 1 species